UUUGGCCUCCAUGAAGUUGAGCAGAAAUUCUAUCACAGGUGCCAAUUUCACAAACAAGUAAUCACUGUUGAACUGGCAGGCAUUCUACCUCGCUCAUUUUCAGUUUUGUCAUGCAAAAGGCUAAUCAAGACAUCUAUCAGAACUUGGCAGCUGGCUUGAUGUUCAAACUGAUCAUCUUCACAGAGAAAAUCGUGGCAAAAAGAGCAGGCAAAUAUUCUGCCUCCUAAAAGAUUUAUCAAAGCAAAAUAAUCAGCAAUGGGCACACGCAUCAAGUUCUGUUCUGCAAACAAUUUAGGCUGUGGUUCUGACUGAAGUUCUCUCUUCUGUUACAAAUGCUUUAACAAAAGUCCUAUAUUAGACACUGCCAUCCAUUAUUAUACUGAAAAAUACCAUGUAUCCUACAAUAAGAGAAAGCAUAAAUACAGAGCAAGUAUUAACUGUACUUUUCUUCAUUUUAAUUUGACUAUGGCGUUAAGUAUUUUUUUUUUUUAAUCAGAUCAUUCUCUUUUAUUCAGUUUCCUUCCCUCCUCCCCCCUCACUUUUGAUGCACACUUGGAAUAAACCCUUCAAUGUAUUCUACAAAUUGA